UUAUCAGUUAAUAAGGUUCAACACAAUUCAACCAGAUAAUGUCACAUACCAUUUAUCAAAUAUAUGCGCAUUUACCCUAAGGUAUCUAAUGCCAAUUAAUUCACUGUCAUGCCAUCCCUAGACAUAACUACAUGCAUGUGGUACCAAAGUGUCUCACCAACGGUGGACCAAGAACAGUUUUAUAUCAUGCUGGAUAUGUCGGAACUUACCGAACCAUCUUAUCUCCCUUGGAUAAGCCAAAACAGUUUUAUAUCCUGUUGGAUAGCA
rnacentral:lncRNA from 1 species